GGUGGGUGGGAUCCUUCAUGAUGUUGCCGACCCUUUUCCGACGCCGUUCUCAUAUGGUAAAUCUGAUAAUGAACAUACUUUUGACCUUUGAUACGGCCUUGAUGGCCGGUAGGCUGGUGCCGGUGGUUGGGAAGUUUGCCGUUGCCUCUCUGUUUGGAGAAGUAUCGGAGAAAUGUAAUUUACACUUGAUGUAUUUUUGUGUAAAAAAAACGAGGGUUAGAACGACUCGGACACGGGCACGUCCUCACAGCAGACACCAGCCAGAGCCCGUAGCCCGAACACUGCGCCCAUUGACGGUGGGGCUAGAGCAAACAGGGACCGUUUCCAAGAACCAGGCCGGAAGCGCAGAGUGCCGAGUCUGGUCUGGAGUAUGCACCGCUCCGCCCAGGAAUCCGAUGACGAAGUUGAAGAAGCUGUUCCUAUAAGGUUGAGUGUAUGUCUUCAGCCUCCUGUACCUCGCCUUGAAGGGCAUGUCCUGCGUGUUGGGAGUCUUUAAUGAUGGAUGUCACCUUUCUCGGGUAUCGCCUUUUGAAGUGGCCUCGGAGGACAGUGCCCGUGUUGGAGCUGGCUGACUUUACAACUUACUGCGGGUGUUUCCGAUCCUGCGCACUGGCCCCUCCAGACCAGAUGGUGAUGCAGCCAGUUAGAAUGCUCUCUGCGAUUAUGUAUUACAUUGAACUGCUGCAGCUAAGUUAACAAAUUUCACAUCACAUGCCGGUGAUAAUAAACCUGAUUCGGAUUCUGCUUUUCAUUAAACCACUCUGACGAGGUGUGAUUACAGAUCACUUGGGGAGGCUGGAGCCCGGAGCCCAUCAUCGAGAACAUCUGCAAGAGGUGGCAUCUAUCGUUAAGGACCCCCAUCACCCAGGCCACGCCCUCUCCUCAGGGAGGAGGUACAGGAGCCUGAAGACACAGACUGAAUGGCUUAGGAACAGCUUUUUCCGUUCCACCAUCAGAUUUCGGAUCAUUCCCCCGCGACCUCAGUAUUUUGCUCUCUUUUUGUGUUUUUUAUUAUAUAUUCUUAUUGUAAUUUAAAGCAAUCUUUGUGUAUUACACUGCUGCCAUAAGAAAACAAAUCUCACGACAUAGAUCAGUGAUAUUUAAAGCGGAGCUCGAUAGAUUCUUGCUUACUCAGCCAGGAUCGAGUGGCAGAGCAGACUCUAUGGGUCAAAUGGCCUAAUUCUGCUCCUUUGUACUAAAGCCUAAUAAAUGGGAUUGUCACCGGGUUCUGUGGGGUUUUUGGGUCAGAGCCAACAUCCCAGGGAGUUCUGAGAAAGUAGUUUGGAGCAGAGGAGGCUACUCGGCCCAGCAAACAUGUCCCAACAUUCAGUGUAACUGUGACCCAUCUAUCCUGCCCUCAGGGAGAAGGUACAGGAGCUUCAUGACCCACACCACCAGGUCCACAACAUUGACCUCCUUGUUCCUCUGCCUGACCUGCCGGGUCCCUCCAGCAUUUUGUGUUUGUUGCUCAACAACUUAUAGUCUCACUUUCCUGGACUUGCCAGUUCAUGUUCUCAGGAUUCGUCACUUAUUUGUUACGGUGAAUGCCCACGAGAGAAUGAAUCUCAGGGUUGAGUAUGGUGAUCUGUGUCUACUUUGACUGUACAUUUUCUUUCAAUCUUUUGAACGUCCACUUUGAAUACUUCCCACAUUCUGGCUCCCACCAACCAUCUGGGUGAGAAACCCAGAGAUUCAUUCCCCACCCCCACACAGAGAAUUCCCGAUGAUUCAGAAUCCAAAUCAGGUUUAUUACCUAUGGUUUUUUUUUAGAUUAUGAGGACACUCAGUCCUCAUUUAUUGUCAUUUAGAAAUGCAUGCAUUAAAAAAUGAUACGACGUUCCUCCAGAAUGAUAUCACAGAAACACAGGAACUUCAAUGAAUUCCAAAGAUUCACUAUCCUCUGUCUAAAGAAAUCUUUCCUCAUCUCUGUUCUAAAUGGACAUCCCUCUAUUCUGAGGCUGUCCCCUCUGGUCCUAGACUCCUCCACGAUAGGAAUCAUCCUCUCCACAUCCACUCUAUCUAGGCGUUUCAAUAUGCGAUAGGUUUAGACCAUAAGACACAGGAGCAGAAUUAGGCCAUUCAGCCCAUCGAGUCUUCUCCGCCAUUCCAUCAUGGCUGAUCUAGAUCCCACUCAACCCCAUACACCUGCCUUCUCACCAUAUCCUUUGAUGCCCUGACUGAUCAGGAAACAAUCAACUUCCACCUUAAAUAUACCCACAGACUUGGCUUCCAUUGCAGUCUGUGGCAGAACAUUCCACAGAUUCACCACACUCUGGCUAAAAGAAAAAUCCUCUUUACCUCUGUUCUAAAGGGUCACUCCUCAAUUUUGAGUCUAUGCCCUCUAGUUCUCGAUAUCCCCACCACAGGAAACAUCCUCUCCACAUCCAUCCUAUCUGGUCCUUUCAACAUUUGGUCAGUUUCAAUGAGAUCCCCCUGCAUUCUUCUAAAUUCCAGUGAGUACAGGUCAAAGCUGCCAAAUGCUUCUCAUAUGUUAACCCCUUCAUUCCUGGAAUCAUCCUCGUGAUCUCCUCUGGACUCUCCCCAAUGACAACACAUCCUUUCUGAGAUAUGGGACCCAAAACUGUUGACAAUACUCCAAGUGCGGCUUGACUGGUGUCUUGUAAAGCCUAGCAUUAUCUCCUUGUUCUUAUGUUCUAUUUUCUUUGAAAUA